rnacentral:rRNA from 1 species
UCCGUAGGCGGUUUAGUAAGUCAGUGGUGAAAGCCCAUCGCUCAACGGUGGAACGGCCAUUGAUACUGCUAGACUUGAAUUAUUAGGAAGUAACUAGAAUAUGUAGUGUAGCGGUGAAAUGCUUAGAGAUUACAUGGAAUACCAAUUGCGAAGGCAGGUUACUACUAAUGGAUUGACGCUGAUGGACGAAAGCGUGGGUAGCGAACAGGAUUAGAUACCCUGGUAGUCCACGCCGUAAACGAUGGAUACUAGCUGUUGGGGGCAACUUCAGUGGCUAAGCGAAAGUGAUAAGUAUCCCACCUGGGGAGUACGUUCGCAAGAAUGAA